rnacentral:rRNA from 1 species
CGCCUGUGGGGCCGUUUAUAGGCAUGCGAGUCGCAUGUACCUGAACUGCCAGGGGCAUGGCGAACGGCUCAGUAACACGUGGGCCAACCUACCCUCAAGAUGCGGAUAACCCCGGGAAACUGGGACUAAUCCGCAAUAGGUCCAGAUUUCUGGAAUGAAUCUGGACCGAAAAGGUAACAUGAGCAUGUUUCAUGUUACCGCUUGAGGAUGGGGCUACGGCCGAUCAGGCUGUUGGUGGGGUAACGGCCCACCAAACCUUUGACCGGUACGGGCUUUGAGAGAAGGAGCCCGGAGAUGGACACUGAGACAAGGGUCCAGGCCCUAUGGGGCGCAGCAGGCGCGAAACCUCCACAAUGGGCGAAAGCCUGAUGGGGUUAUUCCGAGUGCCAUCCGCUAAGGAUGGCUUUUCCCAAGUCUAAACCGCUUGGGGAAUAAGGGGAGGGCAAGUCUGGUGUCUGCCGCCGCGGUAAUACCAGCAA